CAGUCGCCGCGGUAAUACGUAGGUGGCAAGCGUUGUCCGGAAUUAUUGGGCGUAAAGCGCGCGCAGGCGGAUAGGUCAGUCCGUCUUAAAAGUUCGGGGCUUAACCCCGUGAUGGGAUGGAAACUGCCAAUCUAGAGUAUCGGAGAGGAAAGUGGAAUUCCUAGUGUAGCGGUGAAAUGCGUAGAUAUUAGGAAGAACACCAGUGGCGAAGGCGACUUUCUGGACGAAAACUGGCGCUGAGGCGCGAAAGCCAGGGGAGCAAACAGGAUUAGAUACCCCGGUAGUCCCUGUCUCUUAUACC
rnacentral:rRNA from 1 species